ACGCUGGCGGCGUGCUUAACACAUGCAAGUCGAGCGGUAAGGCCUUUCGGGGUACACGAGCGGCGAACGGGUGAGUAACACGUGGGUGAUCUGCCCUGCACUUCGGGAUAAGCCUGGGAAACUGGGUCUAAUACCGGAUAUGACCUCAGGUUGCAUGACUUGGGGUGGAAAGAUUUAUCGGUGCAGGAUGGGCCCGCGGCCUAUCAGCUUGUUGGUGGGGUAAUGGCCUACCAAGGCGACGACGGGUAGCCGACCUGAGAGGGUGACCGGCCACACUGGGACUGAGACACGGCCCAGACUCCUACGGGAGGCAGCAGUGGGGAAUAUUGCACAAUGGGCGAAAGCCUGAUGCAGCGACGCCGCGUGAGGGAUGACGGCCUUCGGGUUGUAAACCUCUUUCAGCAGGGACGAAGCGCAAGUGACGGUACCUGCAGAAGAAGCACCGGCUAACUACGUGCCAGCAGCCGCGGUAAUGCGUAGGGUGCAAGCGUUGUCCGGAAUUACUGGGCGUAAAGAGUUCGUAGGCGGUUUGUCGCGUCGUUUGUGAAAACCAGCAGCUCAACUGCUGGCUUGCAGGCGAUACGGGCAGACUUGAGUACUGCAGGGGAGACUGGAAUUCCUGGUGUAGCGGUGAAAUGCGCAGAUAUCAGGAGGAACACCGGUGGCGAAGGCGGGUCUCUGGGCAGUAACUGACGCUGAGGAACGAAAGCGUGGGUAGCGAAC
rnacentral:rRNA from 1 species